AUUGAACGCUGGCGGCAUGCCUUACACAUGCAAGUCGAACGGCAGCACGGGAGCAAUCCUGGUGGCGAGUGGCGAACGGGUGAGUAAUAUAUCGGAACGUGCCCAGUCGUGGGGAUAACGUAGCGAAAGCUACGCUAAUACCGCAUACGAUCUAUGGAUGAAAGCGGGGGAUCGCAAGACCUCGCGCGAUUGGAGCGGCCGAUAUCAGAUUAGGUAGUUGGUGAGGUAAAGGCUCACCAAGCCGACGAUCUGUAGCUGGUCUGAGAGGACGACCAGCCACACUGGGACUGAGACACGGCCCAGACUCCUACGGGAGGCAGCAGUGGGGAAUUUUGGACAAUGGGCGCAAGCCUGAUCCAGCAAUGCCGCGUGCAGGAUGAAGGCCUUCGGUUGUAAACUGCUUUGUUACGGAACGAAACGGUAGAGCUCUAAUAC
rnacentral:rRNA from 1 species